GGCCAGACUCCUACGGGAGGCAGCAGUGGGGAAUAUUGGGCAAUGGGCGCAAGCCUGACCCAGCAACGCCGCGUGAAGGAAGAAGGCUUUCGGGUUGUAAACUUCUUUUGUCAGGGACGAAGCAAGUGACGGUACCUGACGAAUAAGCCACGGCUAACUACGUGCCAGCAGCCGCGGUAAUACGUAGGUGGCAAGCGUUAUCCGGAUUUACUGGGUGUAAAGGGAGCGCAGACGGCCAGACAAGUCUGAAGUGAAAAUCCAGCGCUUAACGUUGGAAGUGCUUUGGAAACUGCCGGGCUGGAGUGCAGGAGGGGCAGGCGGAAUUCCUAGUGUAGCGGUGAAAUGCGUAGAUAUUAGGAGGAACACCAGUGGCGAAGGCGGCCUACUGGACGGUGACUGACGCUGAGGCUCGAAAGCGUGGGGAGCAAACAGGAUUAGAUACCCGAGUAA
rnacentral:rRNA from 1 species